GGAGUUAGCCGGUGCUUCUUCUGCGAGUAACGUCACAGAUGUAAGGUAUUAACUUACACCCUUUCCUCCUCGCUGAAAGUGCUUUACAACCCGAAGGCCUUCUUCACACACGCGGCAUGGCUGCAUCAGGGUUUCCCCCAUUGUGCAAUAUUCCCCACUGCUGCCUCCCGUAGGAGUCUGGGCCGUGUCUCAGUCCCAGUGUGGCUGAUCAUCCUCUCAGACCAGCUAGGGAUCGUCGCCUAGGUGAGCCUUUACCUCACCUACUAGCUAAUCCCACCUGGGCUUAUCCAUCAGCGCAAGGCCCGAAGGUCCCCUGCUUUCCCCCGUAGGGCGUAUGCGGUAUUAGCAGUCGUUUCCAACUGUUAUCCCCCACAAUGGGCAAAUUCCCAGGCAUUACUCACCCGUCCGCCGCUCGUCAUCUUCAAAGCAAGCUUUUGAAUGUUACCGCUCGACUUGCAUGUGUUAGGCCUGCCGCCAGCGUUCAAUCUGAGCCAGAAUCGAACCCUGA
rnacentral:rRNA from 1 species